rnacentral:rRNA from 1 species
UCCGUAGGUGAACCUGCGGAAGGAUCAUUAACGUGGGGGUAAAACCCUGCCGAGAUAGAACCCUUGCCUUUUGUAUACCGUCCGUUUCCUCGGCAGGCUCGCCUGUCGAUGGACCAAUUUAUAAACCUUUGCAAUAACCUGUAAUAGUCUGAUUUAAAAUUUAAAAAUUAAAACUUUCAACAACGGAUCUCUUGGUUCUGGCAUCGAUGAAGAACGCAGCGAAAUGCGAUAAGUAAUGUGAAUUGCAGAAUUCAGUGAAUCAUCGAAUCUUUGAACGCACCUUGCGCUCCUUGGUAUUCCGAGGAGCAUGCCUGUUUGAGUGUCAUGAAUAUCUCAACCCAACAGUUUUUUGUAAUGAGAACUGAAGGGCUUGGACUUGGAGGCUUUGCCGGCGCUUGUCGGCUCCUCUCUAAAUUCAUUAGCUGAGUCUUUCGAGACGUAGCCUCGGUGUGAUAAUUGUCUACGCCGUGUGUUUGCGUUCUUGCUUGCGCCACCCUGCUUUUGCAGUUGUUGUGGGGGAGACUUCUGGCUUCUAAUCGUCUUCGGACAAUUCACUUUGACAUCUGACCUCAAAUCAGGGGGUAGG